UAAGGGCGCACGGUGGAUGCCUUGGCACUAGAAGCCGAUGAAGGACGUUACUAACGACGAUAUGCUUUGGGGAGCUGUAAGUAAGCUUUGAUCCAGAGAUUUCCGAAUGGGGAAACCCAGCAUGAGUUAUGUCAUGUUAUCGAUAUGUGAAUACAUAGCAUAUCAGAAGGCACACCCGGAGAACUGAAACAUCUUAGUACCCGGAGGAAGAGAAAGAAAAUUCGAUUCCCUUAGUAGCGGCGAGCGAAACGGGAAGAGCCCAAACCAACAAGCUUGCUUGUUGGGGUUGUAGGACACUCUAUACGGAGUUACAAAGGACGACAUUAGACGAAUCAUCUGGAAAGAUGAAUCAAAGAAGGUAAUAAUCCUGUAGUCGAAAAUGUUGUCUCUCUUGAGUGGAUCCUGAGUACGACGGAGCACGUGAAAUUCCGUCGGAAUC
rnacentral:rRNA from 1 species